CGGAACGGGUGAGUAAUGCGUGACCAACCUGCCCCAUGCUCCAGAAUAGCUCUUGGAAACGGGUGGUAAUGCUGGAUGCUCCAACUUGACGCAUGUCUUGUUGGAAAGUGUUUAGUGGCAUGGGAUGGGGUCGCGUCCUAUCAGCUUGUAGGCGGGGUAAUGGCCCACCUAGGCUUCGACGGGUAGCCGGCCUGAGAGGGCGGACGGCCACAUUGGGACUGAGGCACGGCCCAAACUCCUACGGGAGGCAGCAGCC
rnacentral:rRNA from 1 species